rnacentral:tRNA from 1 species
CGGGGUAUAGUGUAGUGGUAGCACGAGUCUUUUGGGAAGAUUUAGCCUCGGUUCGAAUCCGAGUACCCCGA